GCCUGGGUGGCUUAGUUGGUUAAGCAUCCGACUUUGGCUCAGGUCAUGAUCUCAUGGUUUGUGAGUUUGAGCCCCACGUCAGGCU
rfam:Felis catus isolate Cinnamon breed Abyssinian chromosome F1, whole genome shotgun sequence.